GCGAGCUCUACGGAACCGGGAGAACAGAGAGGCUGCCGCGCGGGAAGACGCCUGAUAAAGCGUGCGUAGCGGAUACGUCACGGAACGUCCCCCAGCGCGCCCCGGCGAAGAUCCACUUCUAAUCUAGAUCUUGAGGCUGGAAGAAACAUGCUUUUAGUCUUGAGGUGGGAAGACACACCUCUAAUAUUUUCUAGAAGCCGAUCUAAGGACAUGGAAGAAGGAAGUUUUUGCUCUUUGCCUGUCUGCCUUCUCCCUGCUGGCAAGUCCAUUCCUUUACUAGCAUUAGAACCUGCUUCCUCAGGAUUCCAGCAUAUACUGAAUGAAGACCAGCUGAGAUGUCCAGCCUGGUGGACUGAGCAACUUCUGGAUUCUUGAACUUCCUGUUCACAGUCAGCCAUUGUUGGAGGAGCUGGACUGCAGCCUGGAAGUCAUUCUAAUCCCCUUCCUAUAUAUAUUUAGUCAUUCUGUAAGUUCUAUCACUCCAGAGAACCCUGACUAAUAUAGCAGCAUUCCUCCACGGAAGUCUACUUCAGUUCUUGCCUCCAAGUUCCUGCUUUGAUUUUCCUUCAUGAUGUACGCUAUAAGGUGAAAUACACCCUUUCCUCCCCAAGUUGCUUUUGGCCAUGGUCUUUAUCAAUAGCAAUAGAAAGCAAAUUAAGAUAGAAAUGAUACAUGUAUUAUACCAAUAUCUAUAGAUCUAUCUAUCCCAAGCUUAAAAUGUAUUUGUGGUAGACAUAUCUUCCUUAUCCAUCUGUAUGAAUCUUUUCUAUCUUUUGUAAUCUUGUGUGUGUAAUGGGGGCGGGGGAGAAACAGAGAGAGCUCACAUGUUGAGAUCAGAGGACAACUUUCAGGAAGUACGUUCGCUCCUACCAUGUGGGUCCUGGGGAUAGAACUCUGGUCCUCAGGCUUGGCAGCAAGUGCCUUUAUCCACUGAACUAUCUCACCCGGACCCACCCCCACCGAUUUUGUAGACAGGAUCUGAUUGUGUUGCUAAGUGCUAGGAUUCCAAGUGUAUGCCACCAUGCCUCGCUUGGACUUUAAAAAAUUGCAGUUAGGGUCUGUUUCUUUUUUAAAUUUAAGUAUUUGGGUGUUUUGCCUGUGUGUAUGUCUGUGUAUAAAGUGUAUGCCUAGUGUCCCAGGAGGCCAGAAGAGGGGGUCAGAUUCCCUGGGACUACAGUUACAGAUGGUUGUAAGCUACCAUGUGGGUGCUGGGAAUUGAACCCAGGUCUUCUGGAAGAGCAGCCGGUGUUUUAAGCCAUUAAACUCUCUCUCCAGCUCUGAGAAUCUGUUUUAAAUAUUUUUGGUUAACUAUUAUUAUAUCAGGACUUAGUCCUAACAUUUCAUUUUCUGUACUUACAAUAUAUAUUUGGAGGGCUGGGAGUGAACUCAGUUGGGAGAAUGUUUACAUAUCAUCCAUAAAAUUGUGUGUUCCAUCCCGAGCACUGCGAAAUGCUGGGUGUGGUGGUCCAGACCUGUAAUCCCAGCAGCUUGCCUGCUACAUGAUGAGGUGAAGACUCAGUGUGGGCGUGUGUGUCUGCGCAUUCUUUUGUUUCUCCGAGUUGAACAGGCAUUGUACCCUGUAACGUGCAUCUUAGUCACGAUCUCAUCGGCUUUCGUGAGUCCCACGUUAGGAGGAACCUCACCAAAAGGCUCAGGUACUAAGAACUGAAACCAUUUGCCAAUAGCCCUAUGAUGCAAGUGAAGCCAUUAGCUAAGUCAGGCGUCCUGGUUGACAAGUCAACUGAAACCUCAGAAGAACUCUGGGACAAAACCACCAGGUAAGUGACUUCCAGAUUCCUGACCCUUGGAAACGGCAAGGCAAAUAAAUAAAUCCUUGUUGUUUGGGGCUUCUAAGUUUGGAACUCAUACUGAACUGAAGUUACUUGCUGCUUUAGCUGGCCAAAUGCAGUGAGGAAAGCAGAGACCAAACUCCACCUGUUCACUUACCUGAACUUUGAGGGGUGAAGAGAAGUGUAAGGGAUGAGCCAGACUGUAUGGCCCCUAGCACCACAGAAGUAGUUAUCACUCCCACUUGCUUUCCUAACACCUGCAAAUGUUCUAGUAAGGAGUCAUCAAACCCUCAGAGGAAAAAUCACUUUAAAAGGAGAUAGUCUCGGCUGGGCAGUGGUGGCGCACACCUCUUCAUCCCAGCACUUGGAAGGCAGAGGCAGGCAGAUAGAUCUCUGAGUUCGAGGCCAGCCAGGGCUACACACAGAGAAACCCUGUCCCAGAGGGGAGCGGGGAAGGAAGUGGUCUCCCUCAGAGUAUCCAGCAGUCCUGGCACCUGGGAGUCUGAUGGCCACUGGCUGCCCGUUUCUUCCCCUAGGAUAGCUGCUGCCUUCACACUAGCCAUCUAGACACCUGUACUUGGGUCUGGAUGAUUUCCUCAGUAAGAGAGCAGGCAAAAACUUCCAAAGCAAUGUGGAGAAAAGGAUAGAGCCAUAAUAACCUGCAUUUUCCUCUAGUCUAGACUGUAUUUGCUGCCUCCGGCUACCUGUCUCUCAAAACAUACCAGUUCCUAUGGAGCUAGAGAGGGCUCAGUGGUUAAGAGCACAGGCUGCUCUUCCCAGAGGACCUAGGUUCAAUUCCCAGCACCCAUAUGGCAGCUCACAACUGUCUGUAACUCUAGUUCCAGAGGAUCCAACGCCCUCACAUAGACAUGCAUGCAGGGAAAACACCAAUGCAUUAAAAGCAAAUACAUUUUUUAAGCUGAAUAAAAGAAAAAGGCUAAUAUUAAAAAGAAAAAAAAGAUGGCUUUCUAUGCCCUCAUGGGUCUCAGAGCUGUGCUAUAAUUUCUGGAACCCAUGUUUUCUUUAGAAAAAAAAAUAUAUAUAUAUAAAACUAAAUUGUGGCAGCACACGCCUUUAAUCCCAACACUCAGGAGGCAGGCAGAUCUCUGUGAGUUUGAGGCCAGCCUGGUCUAUGGAGUGAAUAUAUGUAUAUGUAUUUAUAUAUUUUAUACAUUUAUAUACAUAUAUAAAUAUAUACACAAGUAUAUAUAAUACACACACACACAUUUUUGGUUUUCUGAGACAAGGUUUCUCUGUAUAAUCCUGGCUGUCCUGGAACUCGCUCUGUAGACUAAGGUAGCCUCAAACUCAGAGAUCCACCUGCCUCUGCCUCUGCCUCCUGAGUAUGCGCCACGACUGCCUGGCUCUAAAAAAACUAUUUGUUAUUACACUAUUCAUUUUGUGUAUCAGGGAGGGGGUGGCGAAUACAUGUGGAGGUCAGAGGACAAUUUACAGGAGUUAGUUCUCUCUUUCUACCAUGUGGGGCCUAGGGCUCAAAUUCAGCUUCUCAGGCUUGGUGGCAAGCACCUUUCCCCACUGAGCCCUCUUGUCAGCCCUGGAGCCUGUGUUUUCCUCUGGAGUUUCUCCCUGUGGUUUCAGCAGCUUAUAUCUCUUGCCAUCUUGGAAUGGACCAGAAGGUCCAAGUAUCCUAGAGAAAAAGUAAAGGUUUCUGCCUUUCAGAGCCCAAGCAGAAUGGAUUCAUUGGAAUUCUAAAGGGAAUACUGACUUGUAUGACCCCUUAAAUAUCAGUACUUGGAGCUGGAGAGAUGGCUCAUUGUUUUAAGAAGACCCAGGUUUGGUUCCCAGCACCCCAAUGGGAGCUCACAACUAUCUGUAACUCCAGUUCCAGGGGAUCUGAUACCAUUUUCUGGCCUCUGCAAGCUUCUUGCACAUAGUGGUGCAUAGGCAUACAUGUAGGCAAAACAACCAUACACAUCAAAUUAACAUGAAAGCCAAUCAUGGUGGCACCUAACUUUAAUCCCAGCACUCAGGAGGCAGAGGCAGGCAGAUCUCUGAGUUUGAGGCCAGCCAGUCUACAUAAGCAAGUUCCAGGACAGCUUUAAAUAAUAAAAUCAGAAUUCAUUAAUCAUAGAACAUACCCCAUAGGGUGUCAGCUAGUUACUGACGAAAGGAAUACAUAAAGUCUCCAGAAAGCCCUUACACUCUUAUGUAUGGCUUCUACGGAGUCCAAGCCCCUUAUUCACAGUGUGCACUUGGUAGAUCCACAGUGUUUGAAUACCCUGGACACAAAAAGAUAGCUGUGUCCUGCUCUUCAAGUGACUAAUCCUUCUCCACCAACAUUGGGGGGUGAUAAGAACCAUUUAAGGGUCACUCUCAGCUUUACAUGGUAAUGUGGGGGGGGGGGGGACAGAUAAGAUGAUUUUUUCCUUGAUGUCCCAUCAUCUCUGGCAGCAUAACUUCUAGUCAGACCUUGCACAGCUCGGUCAUGACUCGGGGACCCCAGUUAGCUCAUCUACUAUCUAUCAUAUCCUUAGCACAGGACAGUUUCCUUGUGAGAAAGCUCCUCCACAUUCUGAUUAGGUAAGUAGGGAAGAGGGAUUGCCUUUUUUAGAGACAGAUUUUUCCCUCUGUAGCCCAGGCUAGACUUGAACUUGUGAUUCUCCUUUAUUCUCCCAAGUAGCUGGGAAUUAUGUGCAUACCACUGCAGCCUGAUCAAGGACCUGAUUUUUUUUUUAGUUUUAUUUUAUAUGAAUGAGUGUUUUUCUUGCAUGCAUAUAUGUAUGCCAUGUGCAUGC